rnacentral:rRNA from 1 species
UACGUAGGGCGCAAGCGUGUCCGGAAUAUUGGGCGUAAAGAGCUCGUAGGCGGCCUGUCGCGUCUGCUGUGAAAUCCCGGGGCUUAACCCCGGGCGUGCAGUGGAUACGGGCUGGCUGGAGGCAGGCAGGGGAGAACGGAAUUCCCGGUGUAGCGGUGAAAUGCGUAGAGAUGUGGAGGAACACCGAUGGCGAAGGCAGCCUUCUGGGCCAACACUGACGCUCAUGCACGAAAGCGUGGGGAGCAAACAGG